GAAUUCAGAUAUCCUUCAAAGAAUCUAUUAGAAGAAAUGUCCAAAAUGAAGUGGAGAUGCAAAAUGGAAACACUGUUGGAAAACUCAAAAUAGAAGUAGUUGAAAUAGCCACGGACCGAGAUUGCGGUACUGAUAUUUACUGUCCUACUUUUGUCUGCAUGGUUUUAUGAUUAUCAUUAUUGGACUGAUGCGAAUUUUAUUUUGCUUGCUUGGAGACGAAACAUGCAGGUUGGCGCUACUGCAAGGUUCGCUCGCCGAUCGGUUCAGGUUAAGCCCACGGCGUAUCAAAAGGAAUUGGUCUGUAUGGAAGUCGAGUCCCUUUCCAUGUGAAUUAAGCUUAGAUUAUCUGAAAGAUAUUUAUCAUUUUGAGAUUGUCCAUGCUAUCUUCGUAUCGUAGGUGAGCUAUGGUCAUUCUUUACAUCUUUAGAAGAUGGAGUCUCCUCAACAGAUGGAGCGAUUCCAGACCGUUCCGUCCCGAAAUGACUAGCUGAAGCUGAACUACAAGGUGUUUGAAAGAAGUUAAAGACAAUUCGGUGCCAAGACUAAAACCAGGUGUGUUGUUACACUGCUGUCCAAUUACCGUAGAAUUGGUGCGACUUGAGAUACAGAGAGCAAUAUUUGGAGGAGGUUCUACGUCGUGAUUAGCAGAUCAUCCUGUCAUAACGCCUCUGAUCUUUGCCAUGUUGGGUGGAAGUCUAGCUGUUUUACUAUGUAACAUAGAAACAAGUGAGCUAAAAUUAUGUCAUGACGCCGUUACCGGUGAAAACCCACCAAGCCCAGAUACGAAAUGCUGCAUGUUGUCCACCGUUGCAAUCUUACUUGCCUUUGCGGUUACAAGUCUGAAUUACCUUUAUUUGGAAUUAACCCCGCAAAUGCUAUGGCCUCGCCUGGUAGAUGUGGUCUGUGAUUAUCUUUGACAAUGUAUAAUUUCAUGAUUAAUCUUUUCUUUUUGCAGUGAGGUGAAGGUCUCCUCCAUUAAAAGCAAUUCAUGUGUUUUGCUAACACUAGAGAAGCUUUAAGCAGCAUUUGAUGUCCCCCAAAUAAAGAUGUAGUUUAUCAGUGUGUUUUGUCCAUUUAUUUGAAAGAAGAUAUGUAGUGUAUCAGUGUUUGGUGUUGUAGAUGUUGUAAAGGUAUUUGAUGUACAAGAAUACGUGUCUCAAGAAUAUCAAGAAAACAUGUAUCGUUGCCUCCUAUUGCAAUAUGUAGUUUGUUCAAUAAAAUGUUUGUUUCUUA